GAUCCUGGUGAUGAUAGGUGACAUUGUCGGCCAAUCCCCAUGCGGGAAUGAGGACAUGUCCUGCAAUUCUGAAAGGAUC